rnacentral:lncRNA from 1 species
CCCCCAUGGUAUUACAAUCCUAAUAAUCAACAUCACACCAGAGCAUCACCAACCGACCAAGAAUCUCAGCAUCAUUAGUUCGAUGGUCAACAAUAUCUGAACAUACAAGAGAGGAUAAGAGCUUUGGAGGAGCAAAUUAACUCUCAGCAAAAAGGAUACGAAGAACAUCAAAAGUUUAUCCAAGAGCAAAUCAAUAGACAAAGGCAAGUAGAUGAAAGAAAUGAAAGAAACGUAAAGCUUAUCGAUGAGUUAAGAGCAGACAUGAGGAAUUGAGAUCAAAACCCAAGGCGUGGAGGGGAUGAACCUACCCAUUCCAAUUGCGAUCAUCAACAUGCAAACCAAUGUAAUGAAAAUGUGGUAGAUGAUGUUGAUAUGGAUGAUAGUUAUGAUGAAGAUUAUGAUGAUAGUUAUAACUACUCUGGUAAGAAUACUUUAGAAG